AUUCUACUCCCUCUGUUGCAUAAUACAUGCCUUCUAUUUGUCAAAAUAUAUAUGUAUCUAGACAUGUCUUAUUAUAUAGGUACAUCCAUUUUUGGACAAAUGGAAGUCAAGUAUUUUGGAACGGAGGGAGUACACA
rfam:Triticum urartu cultivar G1812 contig789659, whole genome shotgun sequence.